rnacentral:rRNA from 1 species
GAUGAACGCUGGCGGCGUGCUUAACACAUGCAAGUCGAACGGAAAGGCCCAAGCUUGCUUGGGUCCUCGAGUGGCGAACGGGUGAGUAACACGUGGGUGAUCUGCCCUGCACUUCGGGAUAAGCCUGGGAAACUGGGUCUAAUACCGGAUAGGACCACAUUUUGGAUGGUGUGGUGGAAAGUUUUUCGGUGUGGGAUGAGCUCGCGGCCUAUCAGCUUGUUGGUGGGGUAAUGGCCUACCAAGGCGUCGACGGGUAGCCGGCCUGAGAGGGUGUACGGCCACAUUGGGACUGAGAGACGGCCCAGACUCCUACGGGAGGCAGCAGUGGGGAAUAUUGCACAAUGGGCGCAAGCCUGAUGCAGCGACGCCGCGUGGGGGAUGACGGCCUUCGGGUUGUAAACCCCUUUCGCUAGGGACGAAGCGUUAUGUGACGGUACCUGGAGAAGAAGCACCGGCUAACUACGUG